rnacentral:rRNA from 1 species
AACGAACGCUGGCGGCAUGCCUAACACAUGCAAGUCGAACGAGACCUUCGGGUCUAGUGGCGCACGGGUGCGUAACGCGUGGGAACCUGCCCUUAGGUUCGGAAUAACUCCCCGAAAGGGGUGCUAAUACCGGAUAAUGUCUUCGGACCAAAGAUUUAUCGCCUUUGGAUGGGCCCGCGUUGGAUUAGCUAGUUGGUAGGGUAAAAGCCUACCAAGGCGACGAUCCAUAGCUGGUCUGAGAGGAUGCUCAGCCACACUGGGACUGCGACACGGCCCAGACUCCUACGGGAGGCAGCAGUGGGGAAUAUUGGACACUGGGCGAAAGCCUGAUCCAGCAAUGCCGCGUGAGUGAUGAAGGCCUUAGGGUUGUACAGCUCUUUUACCCGGGAUGAUAAUGACAGUACCGGGAGAAUAAGCUCCGGCUAACUCCGUG